rnacentral:rRNA from 1 species
GACGAACGCUGGCGGCGUGCUUAACACAUGCAAGUCGAACGGUAAGGCCCUUCGGGGUACACGAGUGGCGAACGGGUGAGUAACACGUGGGCGAUCUGCCCUGCACUUCGGGAUAAGCCUGGGAAACUGGGUCUAAUACCGGAUAGGACCACUGCCUGCCUGGGCGGUGGUGGAAAGCUUUUGCGGUGUGGGGUGGGCCCGCGGCCUAUCAGCUUGUUGGUGGGGAGAUGGCCUACCAAGGCGACGACGGGUAGCCGGCCUGAGAGGGUGAUCGGCCACACUGGGACUGAGAUACGGCCCAGACUCCUACGGGAGGCAGCAGUGGGGAAUAUUGCACAAUGGGCGCAAGCCUGAUGCAGCGACGCCGCGUGAGGGAUGACGGCCUUCGGGUUGUAAACCUCUUUCAGCACCGACGAGGCGCAAGUGACGGUAGGUGCAGAAGAAGGACCGGCCAACUACGUGCCAGCAGCCGCCGCAG